UGCCUUUACAGCCGGCGACCGGCGCACGGGUGAGUAACACGUAUGCAACCUGCCUGCCACAGCCGGAUAAUCGGGAGAAAUCCCGUCUAAUACGGCAUAAUGCACCUAUGGGACAUCCUGUUGGUGCCAAAGGUUAAUUCCGGUGGCGGAUGGGCAUGCGUCGCAUUAGUUAGUUGGCGGUGUAACGGACCACCAAGACGACGAUGCGUAGGGGUUCUGAGAGGAAGGUCCCCCACACUGGUACUGAGACACGGACCAGACUCCUACGGGAGGCAGCAGUGAGGAAUAUUGGUCAAUGGGCGGGAGCCUGAACCAGCCAAGUCGCGUGAGGGAUGACGGCCCUAUGGGUUGUAAACCUCUUUUGCCGGGGAGCAAAGUGCCGCACGUGUGCGGUUUGGAGAGUACCCGGAGAAAAAGCAUCGGCUAACUCCGUGCCAGCAGCCGCGGUAAUACGGAGGAUGCGAGCGUUAUCCGGAUUUAUUGGGUUUAAAGGGUGCGUAGGCGGACGCUUAAGUCAGCGGUAAAAUUGCGGGGCUCAACCUCGUCGAGCCGUUGAAACUGGGUGUCUUGAGUGGGCGAGAAGUACGCGGAAUGCGUGGUGUAGCGGUGAAAUGCAUAGAUAUCACGCAGAACUCCGAUUGCGAAGGCAGCGUACCGGCGCCCAACUGACGCUGAAGCACGAAGGCGUGGGUAUCGAACAGGAUUAGAUACCCUGGUAGUCCACGCAGUAAACGAUGAAUGCUAGUUGUCCGGGGC
rnacentral:rRNA from 1 species